UACGAAGGGGGCUAGCGUUGCUCGGAAUCACUGGGCGUAAAGAGCACGUAGGCGGCUUAUUAAGUCAGGGGUGAAAUCCUGGAGCUCAACUCCAGAACUGCCUUUGAUACUGAUGAGCUUGAGUUCGGGAGAGGUGAGUGGAACUGCGAGUGUAGAGGUGAAAUUCGUAGAUAUUCGCAAGAACACCAGUGGCGAAGGCGGCUCACUGGCCCGAUACUGACGCUGAGGUGCGAAAGCGUGGGGAGCAAACAGG
rnacentral:rRNA from 1 species